UACGUAGGGUGCAAGCGUUAAUCGGAAUUACUGGGCGUAAAGCGUGCGCAGGCGGCUUUGUAAGACAGUUGUGAAAUCCCCGGGCUCAACCUGGGAACUGCAUCUGUGACUGCAUCGCUGGAGUGCGGCAGAGGGGGAUGGAAUUCCGCGUGUAGCAGUGAAAUGCGUAGAUAUGCGGAGGAACACCGAUGGCGAAGGCAAUCCCCUGGGCCUGCACUGACGCUCAUGCACGAAAGCGUGGGGAGCAAACAGG
rnacentral:rRNA from 1 species